UACGGAGGGUGCAAGCGUUAUCCGGAUUCACUGGGUUUAAAGGGAGCGUAGGUGGGAUGGUAAGUCAGUGGUGAAAUCUCCGGGCUUAACUCGGAAACUGCCGUUGAUACUAUCAUUCUUGAAUAUUGUGGAGGUAAGCGGAAUAUGUCAUGUAGCGGUGAAAUGCUUAGAUAUGACAUAGAACACCGAUUGCGAAGGCAGCUGGCUACACGAAUAUUGACACUGAUGCACGAAAGCGUGGGGAUCAAACAGG
rnacentral:rRNA from 1 species